UGGGGAAUAUUGCACAAUGGGCGCAAGCCUGAUGCAGCCAUGCCGCGUGUGUGAAGAAGGCCUUCGGGUUGUAAAGCACUUUCAGCGAGGAGGAAGGUGGUGAGCUUAAUACGCUCAUCAAUUGACGUUACUCGCAGAAGAAGCACCGGCUAACUCCGUGCCAGCAGCCGCGGUAAUACGGAGGGUGCAAGCGUUAAUCGGAAUUACUGGGCGUAAAGCGCACGCAGGCGGUUUGUUAAGUCAGAUGUGAAAUCCCCGGGCUCAACCUGGGAACUGCAUUUGAAACUGGCAAGCUAGAGUCUCGUAGAGGGGGGUAGAAUUCCAGGUGUAGCGGUGAAAUGCGUAGAGAUCUGGAGGAAUACCGGUGGCGAAGGCGGCCCCCUGGACGAAGACUGACGCUCAGGUGCGAAAGCGUGGGGCAGCAAACAGGAUUAGAUACCCUGGUAGUCCACGCUGUAAAACGAUGUCGAUUUUGGAGGUUGUGCCCCUUGAGGCGUGGNUUCCGGAGCUAACG
rnacentral:rRNA from 1 species